rnacentral:rRNA from 1 species
UCAGAAUGAACGUUGGCGGUGUGCUUAACACAUGCAAGUCGAACGAGAAAGUUCUUCGGAAUGAGUAUAGUGGCGAACGGGUGAGUAACGCGUGAGGAUCUCCCCUUCAGUGAAGGAUACCCUUGAGAAAUUAAGGUUAAUACUGCAUACGUCCCAUAGAAAUGUGGGAGAAAGAUGGCCUCUUGCUGUCGCUGAAAGAUGAACUUGCGUUCUAUUAGCUAGUUGGUGGGGUAAAGGCCUACCAAGGCGAUGAUGGAUAGCCGGCCUGAGAGGGUGAACGGCCACAUUGGAACUGAGAUACGGUCCAGACUCCUACGGGAGGCAGCAGUGAGGAAUAUUGCACAAUGGGCGAAAGCCUGAUGCAGCGACACCGCGUGAAGGAUGAAGGUCUUAGGAUUGUAAACUUCUGUUAAGUGGGAAAAAAGACUCGUUACGAAUAAUAACGAGGGAUGAUGGUACCACUAGAGAAAGCACCGGCUAACUUCGUGCCAGCAGCCGCGGUAAUACGAGGGGUGCAAACGUUAUUCGGAAUUACUGGGUGUAAAGGGUACGUAGACGGCAUCUUAAGUCAAUUGUUAAAUUCCCCGGCCUAACUGGGGGUAGGCGAUUGAAACUAAGAAGCUAGAGAGUGGAAGAGAGAAGUGGAAUUCUCGGAGUAGCGGUAAAAUGCGUAGAUCUCGAGAGGAACACCGAUGGCGAAGGCAGCUUCUUGGUCCAUAUCUGACGUUGAGGUACGAAAGCGUGGGGAGCAAACAGGAUUAGAUACCCUGGUAGUCCACGCUGUAAACGAUGAUCACUAGACGUUGGGCUUGCUUGCAGGCUCAGUGUCGCAGCUAACGCGAUAAGUGAUCCACCUGGGGACUACGGUCGCAAGAUUAAAACUCAAAGGAAUUGACGGGGGUCCGCACAAGCGGUGGAACAUGUGGGUUUAAUUCGUCA